GUGCAGUGGCAUGAUCUCUGCUCACUACAACCUCCACCUCCCGGGUUCCAGCGAUUCUCCUGCCUCAGCCUCCCGAGUAGCUGGGACUACAGGCGUGCACCACCACGCCUGGCUAAUUUUUUUUUAGUAGAGACGGGGUUUCACCAUGUUGGUCAGGCUGGUCUCGAACUCCUGACCUCGUAAUCUGCCCUCCUCGACCUCCCAAAGUGCCGGGAUUACAGGUGUGAGCCACUGUGCCUGG
rnacentral:lncRNA from 1 species